GCGAUAGGCCUUACACAUGCAAGUCGAGGGGCAGCACGAAAGCGUAGCAAUACAAUUUUGGUGGCGACCGGCGCACGGGUGAGUAACGCGUAUGCAACCUACCUACUACUUUGGGAUAGCUCGUUGAAAGACGAAUUAAUACCUUAUAAAACAGGGGCUCCGCAUGGAGAUAUUUGUUAAAGAUUUAUCGGUAGUAGAUGGGCAUGCGUUCCAUUAGUUAGUUGGUGAGGUAACGGCUCACCAAGACAACGAUGGAUAGGGGAACUGAGAGGUUUGUCCCCCACACUGGAACUGAGACACGGUCCAGACUCCUACGGGAGGCAGCAGUGAGGAAUAUUGGUCAAUGGAGGCAACUCUGAACCAGCCAAGUCGCGUGAAGGAUGACUGCCCUACGGGUUGUAAACUUCUUUUUUAGGGAAU
rnacentral:rRNA from 1 species